rnacentral:rRNA from 1 species
UAAGACAGAGGUCCCGAGCGUUAGGCGGAAUCACUGGGCUUAAAGCGUGUGUAGGCGGAUCGUUAAGUGCCUUGUGAAAUCCCACGGCUUAACCGUGGAACUGCUUGGCAUACUGGCGGUCUUGAGCCACUUAGGGGCUACCGGAACAAAUGGUGGAGCGGUGAAAUGCGUAGAUAUCAUUUGGAACGCCAAUGGUGAAAACAGGUAGCUGGGAGUGUGCUGACGCUGAGACACGAAAGCCAGGGGAGCGAACGGGAUUAGAUACCCCGGUAGUCCUGGCCGUAAACGAUGUCGACUAGAUCGUAGUGGCUCUGACGCCAUUACGGUCGAAGCAAAAGUGCUAAGUCGACCGCCUGGGAAGUACGGUCGCAAGGCUA